AAGGACUUUUGCUCCUACUUCAUUGUCUCCUAGAUUUAAAAACGAUUUUGCAUCCAGCACAACUUGUUUGCUAUGAGAUGUUACAGUGCCCGCUCUGUGAUGUGGCUCUGUACAGCAGCUCUUCAGAAGAGCUGUGUUAUUUUUUUUCCCCUCUUCUAUCAUUAACUUUAGUUUAUCCAUAACAAGUGCGCUGUCUGCUGUAAAUGUUAGUUGAAGCCUUACCGAGUGGAUAAUGUUUUACAGUCAUCUCUAUCAGCACUUUUUGGUCUCCAGUGAUGCUUAUGGAUGCAUUUCCUCUCGUCUCCUGGAGCAAUAUUUUACUCUUCGGCCAUUUGCUCUGUGACAGUUUCCUUCUGGUUUUUGGAAGAGAUUUUCAGCGAAUUGACUUGGGAGUUAAUACUGACCUGUUUCCUCAGCUUCAACAGCUGCUUGUACCCUGGCUCAUCCUGAUUUGGAAACCAACACUGUAAUGACUUUUCUGUCAACCUUUUGCAGUCAGUAUUCUUGGCCACACGUCAUGCUUUCCUGGAAUAAGCUGCCACGUGAUGUUCUGCAAGCAAGCUGAAACGUGCAUCUAGCCCAGUGGUUGGUUUGGGUCCUAAUGGGGGGUUCUUGUGACCCAGCCAUAGGGACAAGAUGUGUGGCACAGCUCUUCCUUCCUCCCAGCAGAGGAGAGGCAUGGAGAAGACCAAGCAAGUGCCUCCUUGGGACAGCGCUAGCUAUGAACCCGUGUCCUCUUAACUUCAGAGCGUUCCUAGGGGACCACUUCACCUUUUACAGAAUGAUUUAGUGGGAUGUGCGGGGUACAGAACACGAUUCCUGUGAGCCAGGAGGUUCUGGAACAAGGCAGCAAAACUUGCUCGGUGUAGACAAAGCCGUGUGACAGUCCCACCUAACAGCAACCAUGCUACUGGGAACGCAGACAAAGGUGUCACUGUGAUUAAUGGGGCACUCAUCUGAGCACCGCGUCCAGGAGCACAGGUUGCACCUUGCCCUGGUGGCCCGGCUUUUGCAGGCUUUGUCUGCUGUGAGUCCUGCUCAGAAAUGGCUGGAAGGAAUUCAAGGACAGAAGCAAAAAGCAUGGGGCUUAGCCUCAGACUCCCUCAGGAAGGGAAGGACGUGCAUCCUGCCUGUCCUGUGCAUACGGUGUUCCUCUCCAUGGACUCUUUCCAAGGUGUUGGUCUCCAGAAUGCUCCUGGCUCUGCUCUUCUUGGAAGCAAUGGUCUGCUCCUGCUGCUAGGAUCCAGUACCUCUUCCUGUAAGAAUGUGUUGCUUGGAUGUGAAGAGAUGCUAUCGAUCUUACAAUGGAGGUUGCAGAUGAAGGAGAAAAGGUUGGAAUUAAGCCGACAGCACUCAGCUGCUGUAAGCCGGACAUUGCAGAAUGGUGGCUUGCAUGAAGCCAGAGGCCAGGCUCUACGGUCUGGAGCCUCACAGGGAGUCCUCCAAGUGAAGGAUGAGCCCUGAGCUGCAAGAGAGAUCUACUCCCACUAAACCAACCUCCCGAGGGGACUUACUUCGUUUGACUGGCUCCGUCAUCCUCAGGAGGAAACUUUCCUCUGCAAGAUGGUGAAAUAGUGCCCAUGUGGAAACGUUCUGACUGCAUGCGCCUGGAGUCCGGCAUUGUUGCAGAGGAGGAGAGCGGCAUAGGAUGGCUCCAAAGAAAAGAGGUCUGCAUCAGAAGGAAAACCUCCUGCCAUGCCAGCUUGCCCAGACCUAAUGGUGAGACGGCCUUUCCCAGCUACACUAAGGGCUGCUUCUUGUGGACUGGAAGUAUUGCCAAAGAGUGAGUGAUCCUUAUUAAUAUGCAUCUCCAAAAACAACAGGCAGUCUUGCACAGAUCCUCUCACACGUAUCUUUGGAUUUUGAGACAGUGGAGAGCUCUUUAUUCCCUCUCACACCAAUGUCAGCCAUAGCGCAAGAUGUCUUGAGCUGAUUAAAAAUCUCUUUAAUCAAAUGCUGGCAGGGGAAGUGUUCAGAACGUUAGAAGGAUGACUUUGACAAGCUGCCCCUGCACUGUGAGUGACUUCAUCCAGAGGUUGGCCCGGCAGGCUGGCGUGUGAUACAAAGCCUCCACUCACCUUGAUUUCCAAAGCUGCCAACAAACUGCAGUGACGAUGCUGAGAAGCCAGUAGGGCACUGUAGCCUGUGCUCAGUUCUUCUCCGUUAGAUACUGACCCCCCCCCCAAAAAAAACCUUUGCUACAGGCAAAAUCCAUCACUCGAUUCAUCAACCCCUACCUACGCUUCAAAUUCCUAUAUCCCAAAUCCAUGGGAACGAUUUUGAACAUGAAUGUAGGCUGGAAAUCAUUGCUGUGCAGAUUGUCUGGAGGCUUUUUUUUCCCCCCUGUUCUAUGGCUGAACUGGACUUCAAAAGAAUAAAUAAAAUCCAUUCUGGUAGCACCCCCUCUUCCCCCUCCAACCCCCCAGGAGGAGUGUACUUCUAUGGAGAAAGGACAUAAAGAAACCUCCUGAUAUUUUAUUCAACCAGAAUUAAGUGUUUUGAUUUUGGGGAAUUCAGCUAAUUUUCUUACUCCUCAAAAUAGGUCAGCUUUGAAAUAGAAGAUGUCACGCUGAAAGAAAAAAAAGGGGAAUAGAUUUGUUUAGUGAAUGUAAGAUUAUACAUACAUACUUCUGGAAUUUUAACAAGCUUAUGAAUGGAAAGAAAGCAUCCAGGUUGUUUCUCAGUCAGUUAGACUUGGAUUUAGGACCGGUUUUCACUCUCCAUAAACUGCAUUUCUUUUUCACUUAGAAGAUCCCCUCCCACCACAAAAGCCCCUUCCCCUUUUGCCAUUGCUGGAAAUAAAUAGCCAUAAUAUAGCUGGAAUUAAUACAGCUACACUGAGUCAACUAAGUGCUGAAUUUUUCUUUCCCAAUGCUCUCCGGGCACCCAGACGUGCUCAAUAGGAAGUGUUGGCACUUGGGGCUACGUAUAGAAAACCAGGGUGUGUGCUGCUGGGGCUGUUAGGGAGGAAAUCUUGUGCCAGCAGCCCUCUGCUGUGGGCCUUCUCCAAGCUUUGUCUCUAUUCCCUCAUUCCUCUGCAGAUGUCCUAAGCCACAUUUUGCUUUCAUUAUGACAAAAAUUGUGCAAGAUACUCAUCUUCUUUUAUUUAUAUAUAUAUAUAUUUUGUAGCAUUUCUGUGUUCCUACACCUUUUCUCUUUGCGGCAUCACUUAUGGACAUGUAAGUAGUAGGUUAGUUUCUAUUCUCACUCUGGGGGGUUGGGUUCCAAACUGUUUAUUGAGUAAUAAAAAGAGAAAAUGGCGAGUCAUUGCCCAGGGAUAAUGUGCUAAUAAUUUUAUGACUGGACAAAUGGUUGCAACAGCCCACAAAUGGCUGUAGGCAGGAAACCUGGUGUCUAUUGCUGACAGAGCCACCCCCAAGGAGAUAAAACCUCACUUUUGGUGAUCAAAGUUGAUGCAACAACUGUGAUCUAUUAAAAAUUACUUUGGAGAUGGGUAAGGCAAUCAUUAUUCCUCUUGGAGGAGAAGUGGCAGACAUAGACUUUUUGGGAAGUGUUUAGAAGUGAGCCCUACAUGGGAUGAAUGCAGCAGACCACCGUGGCUGCUUGCGCUCGGAGCCACGCGGCACGCAGCUGCAGGGCUGCAGGCUGGGGAUGCUUGGAGAAACAAAGAUUAAAGGGGGGUUAGUGCUAUCAGGCAAACACGAAUCAUCCCAGAGAUAACAAAGGGUUGAAGUUUAUUUAGCCACUAACCGUAUGGCACUCAAGUGCGUUAGCCUGGCUUGACUGCUGCAGAGCAUGGAGCCGGAAUGGCUGCUGCAGGGCGUACACCAGGAUACACCCUGUCCCACUCUGGGCUGAUGUCCCCUGUCUGAUUACUCAAGGAGGAUGUCCCCCUCCUGGCGAUGGGGCAGUUGUCCCAUCGGCACCAAUUUCUUCCCACUGUUGUGGAGUUUGGUGGGGAAGGAUGAGCAGGGCCCUUGUGAGGUCUCUCUCUGCCCAUCUCCCAGCAGGCAGGAGGAGCUGUACCUCUUCCAAACCCGCAGCAGAUCCAUCCCUCGAAGUGGGCAAGAAGCCAUGUGAUGGGGCGUAGCUGCUCGCAGCUGCCAAGACCUCACAUUUGUAUGUUAGUGAUGCAGAUAGGAUCUCAUAAACCCGUCUCCAUACUGCUUUACUGCUGAUUUAACGAUCAGAGGAAGAACUUGACUGUUUAUUAAAACAUUAGACAGUAAAGUUUAACAAUAGACAGUAAAGGGUUUUGUUUUUCCAUCCCUCUGAUUGUUAAAGCAACAACACAUAGGCCUGGAGAGGGGCCUGCUGCUAACCUCAGGAUGAUGGGAUGGGGCCAUGAAGCUCCUCCAGAAGGCAGGAUAGAGCAGCUGGCAUUCUGGCAAAUCCCAUAUCUGAAGAAGGAAAUCUGAUGUAGGGUAUGGGUGCGUGCCCCAUCACCGGAGGUGCUGAGGGCUGGGCUGGAUGGGGCCCUGGGCAGCCUGAGGUGGUGGGGGGCAGCCAGCCCAUGGCAGGGGUAGGACUGGGUGGGCUGUAAGGUCCCUUCCAACCCAACCAUUCUGUGAUUCUAUGAGUCUGACUGCGAGAAGGGGCAAUCCAAUUGCUCUGUGGGCAAGGGUCUCGUGGUAGGGCUCCUGUUGUUCAGCAGACCCACAAACACCGGCAAAGGGAGCAGAUGGAAACAAAACUCGCAAGGCAACAGCAUUAUUCAGGACAGUGCCAACGAAAGCUGACUGCGAAGAAACGCCGAAGGAUUGCAGCGUGCAGGUGAUGAAAUGGCAGAGGAAAUUCAUUGUUGGUAACUGCAGAUAGAGAAAAAUCAGCAGUGGCUGUACCCAUACAGCAGCACCAUCUCAAUGAGCUAUUGCCUCUCUGGAAGGAGGCUGUGGAGGCAAGGCAGGCUGUUUCUGGAAACGUCAGCAGUGAUCACAAAGGCAGUGGCCAUUCUAGGGGUUACGGAGGAAGAAAUGGAGAGUAAAACAGGCUGCCAUUGUGCUGCUGGGUGCAUCCACAGUGCAUCCCCAUCCGAGGUGCUGCCCCUGCUUCUGGUGGCCGUGUCUUGGGGCCAAGGGAAGAUGGAAGAGGAGUUACAGGGACUUCAUAGCAGGACCUCGAGAACUUGAGCUGAAGUGGACAGAUCUGGAGGAGAAGAUGAGAGGAAGAAAGCCCUGGGUGGCUUGGAGGAGUUGGACGUGGAGCUGGACAAGCAUCUGCUCUGUGUCUGUGCUGAUGCUAUUUAGAAACCCCAGCCUUGGCUCUGCUUGACAUUUGGUAAUGCUGAACUGGGACAGCACCCAAAAAACCCCAUCCGUGUUGGACCGUCAGUAAGAGGUGGCACAUCUGACCAAAACCACGUCGCCAUUUGCUUCCUUGACAGCACAUCCUACCUCAUCCCCUGUCCUUGUCCUGCUGACCCCCGUUCCCAGCCUCCCUUGCUCAAUUUCAGCAGCAUCCUGGGAGGCCCCUUCAGCUGCAAGCCCCUCGCUUGGGAAAGAAAGUGGGGUUGGAGGGGGGGGAUCAGAGCCCAGCUGUGGGCUGGGGCAGCAGGCGAGUGCUUUCCAAACGCUGACUGCUGUUGGUGUAUUUCUGCUGGUGAGGAUGCAGCUGGCAGCGUUUGUGUGCAUGCGUUUAUACACACACACACACACACACAGACUCACCUCCACACGAGUACACGACUAAAAUACAUAUAUUUCCUCACCCCGCAUCUUUCUGCAAGCUGCAAAAAUACAAAAGAAUAAAAUUAAGUCUCUUAUCGCUGCUAAGUCAUCAGAAACUAAUAUUGCAUCUACCGGGCAGUUUUCCCCCUCCCCCCCCCAAACCAUCUCCACUUCGCAAUCCUAAUUCAAUGAUUCUUUCUGUAGCUCUUUACAUUCUAUUAUUUAUAAGAAACAAUAUUCAGCCCUCCCCUGACAGUGUUUGCAGGGCUGCGGGAAGCAGUGCGGCAGAAAGGUGGUAGAACAAUUUUGGUUAUGUUUCCAUAGCUACCUAGCUGCUAAAUGUGGUUUAUUCCAUUUUAAAGUCAACCAACACACACCCGCACGCACACGCACAAACCACCAGAUGAAGUGUAUUCAAACUAAUCCCUGGGCUGCCUAUUACAGCCUAAUAUCCCUGCCAUUUGUAUAUUUAAAGGGAUAGUUGCUGCAGAAAUAAAUGGCAGGGCAGCGCUCUCGCUGGCUAGAGCAGGAUGAUCAACAUAUUGUUUCUUUCUUGCUCUCCUCUCCGACGUGUGUGUUCCACUCCAUCCCUGUAAUAUUAUUAUGGAGAUUUUUACCGAGGGCUGAGAGCUGAGGAAGUCGGAGGUAGGAUGGUGUCCUCUCGUGGCAGUCAGCAUCUCUGCAGCCUGAUGGUAGCCGUGCCAAGAGAGAGCCGAGCCUGGGCUCUCCUGGGCAUGCACUGCUGUCUUAGGGACAAAACUCUUGGAGCAGAGCUUCCCACCUCCCCUAGUGCACCCAAAGACGAGGAGCCUCCUGCUUCUGCUCCACGCCAGGCUGGAGGCUGCUGCUUGCUCUUGCUUUCCCUGCGUGAAAGAAGAACCCUUGGGAAAGGAGUGGUGGGUACCAGCUUUGCAGAGCGGAGGAAGUUUGUCCCAUGGAAGUGAGCAUCUCUGAGCUGCCGUGGGUUGGUGGAGAACAUCUCAGAGCUUGUAAUCAGUGCCUCAUAAAUCACCGCUGACUGCCGGGAUCGCUUUGGCCGCUCUUCCCCAUCGUCCUGUCUGCAGGAAUGGGCUGCAUGUUUCCACGUGGAUCGGGUCUGAAUUGGCUGUCUGAACCCAGAGAUUAAAGAAACAGCAGCCUCUCUCUCUCCUGUAACUGGCCCGAGAAUCCAUGAGCAUCCUCAGAAGUCUGAAGAGAAUGGGCAUCCUGUCUAUAUCCAAGGCAGGUAAUCACUGUAAAGGUAAGAAAAUGGAAGAGUUCAUCCCUUGGCACCCAGAAUACUUUAUCUGCCUUCUUAUAUGCUCACAAAUGGCUACUGUAAACCAUGUUUUCUCUUCACCAAAAAUACAAAACCAACGGAGAUGCAUGUUUCUCUGCUGAUGCUGGUGAUGCCACGGGUCCCAGGAGGCUUGCUGGGUAGUGAGGGAGCUGCCCAUAUAUUUUUGUGUGCAGGGGAGCUGCUUGCAAGGAAAGCUCACUAAUUAGGGGGAAAAUAUUUGAUCUCUAUGGGCUUUUGGUGAAAUAUCUGAGAAAGGCAGCAGAUGUUGCUGAAAUUAUUUUUCAUCUGUUUUCCCCCGUUUUCUUCCCAUAUUUUUUAUGUGGUGUAUUGAAUUAAAAUUCAAUAAACAGCUCAUGGCUGUUUAUCAGGGAGUGCAAAAAACUUGCUCUAGAUUAAAGCCGGUGCCUCAUCUAAUGCAGUGUGUGCACUCACCCCAGCAUCCCUCUGCCUUACUUCUGAAAGCCACAGAUUACCCACGGUCUUCAGCAAGGAGUUGUCAGACUACCCAAAAUGUGCUGUAGCACAGCCAGCCCAUAUUUCUCCAUUGGGUCUGAUGUCAUCCAGGUAAGUGCAGCAUCUAUGUGAUAUGGAUUUGUAUGGAUCUGCCUUGUAUCGCUCCUUUGCCCAGCAGUUCAGCUCCUCUGAUAGUCAGAAAGCUGCUAAUCGGGCUCCUCAAUCCAAAAAGGAAAUCAGUAGAGAUGUAGGGCAGUCCUGAUGACCACCCACAAGGUCUCAUGGAGGUAUCUGACUUCUUCAGAGUGGCUUCAGGUGAAGGAAUUUUGAAGACAAGAACCUGAAUCCAGGUGUGAUCUCUUCAGUUCUAAGAGGCUUGAGAGACUGAAAGCCCCAUUUUAACCCCGGGACACAGUGUAUCCUACAAGCACAGGCAGCACUGUUCAAACAGGGAGCAGUCACAGACCUGACUCCCUGGAGAACCAGUCCAAGGGUCCAUGGAGAACCACUUACACAGACUGGACAUCAAAUGCUGCCUCAAACACAGAACCACAUGGUUUUGGAUGUAGAGUCAAAGCAAGCAUCUAUAUGAGUUUGCUUGUCUUAUUUCAACCCAAAACCAUCUGUAGGACACUGCAUCCAAGCCCACUGGACAGGUCAGUUAAUUAUGUUGAGUGAGUCAAUGGAUGGAUCAAUUUAUCAAAUGAUAAACAGAGAUUCUGCUUUCAUCAGGGUAGUGAAUAUUAAUUGAUUUGACAGGCAGAAGCUUGGUAAAACAAGUACAAGUUGCAUCAGGGCAUCACUGUAUUAAUUAGCCGUGUUGAAGCUGCUUUUAGCUGCUUCCGAAGUUUAAUCAAUAUGCUACAUUCGAGUCCCAAAAGGCUUAUGGAAACAGCCUUUGAAAUCCUUUAAAUUGCUGCUUCUCUGAGGUUUUAGACUCUUUGCUUAUUCUUGUUCUGCUGUUUUUCUUCCUUAUUUUUUUUUUCCCUCCUGCAAUCAAUAGUGACCCACAAGAACUGGUAGGGGUGGGUUUUCUUAUUUGUAUCACAAAUUUGCAUUGGCUAGGAACAGAAAUAAAAUGAAAAAGAUCUUCUGUUUUAGUACAAUAAUAGUAAUAAUCCUAGACAUUAAUGAGCUGCCCUCUGUCUUCCAGUUUCUAUAUGCAGUAAAUUACCUCUAUAGACUUAAUCUGAUGUGAAUGAGCAAGGCACCAGUUAAAUCAUGUUUUCCUGAGCUCUUGCAUACUGCUCAGACUUUGAUUUAAUACAAAGGAAGGUUUGAGCUUGCUAAUACAUUUUACUGAGUGGGAGGAAGGAGAAGGUGGAGCUGAAAAUGAAGCCAGAGAACUAAACCACGCAGAGAAGGGGAUGGAAGCCCUGAGACUGCUCGGUGCAAGGGUGGUGGUAUAGGACUGCUCUGGGAGAGCAUAGUGUCUAUGCUACUGGCCAGCUUUGUGCAUGUAUGGGAACUGUUGAGUCCCAGCCUGAAGCACUGAUUGAGCACCUGGAGAAAGGAGCCGGUCAGCCCUAGGAGCACAGGUGAAGGUAGUUCAGCUGUGUGACUGUAAGGGGUGGAGCCUGGCUGCACCUCCCUUAGACCUCAUUUAAGGGCUGACCCCCCCUGGGGAUGGGUCUGUUUCUGGAGAUCCCUCUUUGGAGAAGCUUUCCCCUGCAAACCUGGAAUCUUCUGAUACUGGUGAGCAAUCUUCUUCUCUUCCUUUUUACUGUGCAGGUCCUUCCCUCAUCACAUCUCUGUUGUAACACCUUUUCCUCUGUAUUGAUCUGCCACAUUGCUACACCAGGGGACUCUUUGACAGCUGAAGUUUUUGGUGUGUCUGCAUGACGUGAAGGUCCAGAAGGCCACCACUGGGGCUUCUGGUCACCACCCCAUCAGACCUGUGAGCAUGCAGGGAUCUGAAAUAAACUUUCUAAAAAUGAGUUUCUGCCCUCAUAAUUUGUGGUGGCUUUCUGCUAUUUAGGCUUCUCAUCCCUUUUCAAGAUAAAAUAUCCUCAGAUAUGCCCAUAGUGGGUUUCCAGCAUGCUUUCACCGUGCCUUCAGCAAUUUUGUGCAUGUUGACUCCCUGAGGUCACUACUACAGAUGCCUCACCAGUGUACUCAACAUGAGAAGACCAACGUUGCUUGAAACAUUACUCAGGGCCCCAGCAUAAUUAUACCAAUUACAGAGUCAGGCCCUGAGCUGUGCUUUCUGAUGCACACAUCUGCCACGCAGGCUUCAUUGCAUGUGCGGAUCCUGUCGCUAAUAAUGGAAGAUGCCCCAAUCUCUCCAGGGGCAACAGUCUCUGCUACAGGCAAGGUACUAAAUCACACUUGAAGUUUCUAGGCCAAAAUGUUUUACUUUUGUUUUAGAGGAAUAAAGUUCCAAACAAGUGUGAGGUGUAUUUCCAGGCCUGAUUAACCUGGCUCACCUGGUAAUGUGGAAAAAGGGGAGCAGCCUUGUGGGAGGUGGAAGCAGGACCAUCCUGUAGAGAUGGCAUAGAAAUGAUUAGGUGGAAUUACCUAAAAAAAAAAAUAGGUCUUGAAGAGCACUCAAGAAAUGUGCAUGCCACCAUGCUCCAAUGCAGAUUUAACUCUAUAUCUGUUCAACCUCCCAACAGCAUCUUUGAAAGUACCAGCGAUUUCUCUGGUCAUGGGCCCUGCUAACCUUCAGUCUUACAAGUGCCAUGGGCCUUUGAGCCAGGAGAAGGCACAAAGCCAAUUUUAAUUAGUGGUAUUUUGCAAGCCUAGGUUGCUGGAUCUUGUUGAAUCAAUCUCUGUUGCCUCAGUUAAUCCAUGCCACAGUUGCAGCAGAUGGAAGCUCCUGCAGAAGGUGACACGAAGGGACUCUGGCAUUCAGGCCUGUAAGUCUUUCCCAUUUAGACAUCCCCUUGUCUCCCCCUUUCUUCUGUGCCCUUAUCCAAAGGAUCAAGGAUGUGGCUGCAGUGUGCACACUGUAGGGUGCACGUCAGAGGAAUCCUCAUUCCUCCCAGCCUUGAGCAGCUAUGGUGAGAUGGCCCAUCAGGUCCCACUUUUGAGCUGUUCUACCCACCUCUUUCUGUCACGCAGAUGUCCUCAGAUUUGGUGACACAGCAAAAUCCUCUUUCCGCGUGGGAUGGCAGGUUGAGAAGCUGAUCUGGAUGCAACUUAUGCAUGCUGGGAACUUCUCAGAAAUUGUUGCACUUGUGAACGUGGAUACAGAAUAGGCUGCAUAGAGUCAAAGCUCCCUCCUGGGCUGCGAAGAAUGGCAGCGAGAAACAUUAAUAGCUUCUUCUGAAUGAGCAAGUGUGAAUGCUCGGAAGCCCAAUUAGUCUGUGACUUCUACAGAGGCCUCCCACAGAGGAGGACAAAAACAUGGAGCUGAAUGGGACAGAGGAUGAGAAAAGAACAAAAACUAAUGUUCUGCAGCUGAGCAAGCCCCUUAUUUGAGUCAGUGUGAGACCCAGGAGUCUAUGAACCUGCAGGACUUUUGUGAAGGAGUCUGACUCAGCUCGGUGGAGGUCCUGGCAGAAAGCCGGGGUGUGGAAGAGUCACACCAGUAGGUUGUCCUUGCUUUGGAAGGGCAUGCAGAAGGCGCUAUGGCAAAGUGCUGUGUGGGCUUCAAGGGAUCGUCCCUGCUCAUCUCACCUGGGCCUUGUGUGUGGACUGCUGGAAAGACAGGGACUGUGUCUGAGGCACUAUAGCAUGUGUGGAUACGAAGGAGGAAUUUGAGCAGGAGGUACUGAAGGGAAGCCACUGGGCUGCUGGUCUUGUGCUCAGGCCAUUUGGUUGGGGGCUAAAACCAUGCUAAUGGCUUCCAGCACCACUGCCCAGAGCAAUGCUAUUCACACCUACCCAUGUGAUUUCCUCCAGAGACCCUUGAAGUGCUUGAUGGUGUACUGAGGAAGGUUCUUGGAUUCCAAGGCAAGAAGCAAAGCCACUUGGUAUGCUCCCUCCAUCGUUCCAGUGAUGUCACUCCCAAGGGCCAUGUGUGAUAGAGACCCACCUCGUCUGUGCGGUUAGAGCUUCCUCUUCCACUCAUCCCCAUCCUCAAGGCUAAAAGGCCCUUUGCUAAAUAGAAAAAAUACAAGCCUCGUGUCACUGAUAGUUUUAAAAUUAUAAUGGAAACCUUCCGUCAGUGGUGACACAAUUACCUGCCCAUUUUCCUGCUCCACCUCAUUAAAGGGAAAAUGUUACAAUUAAGGUACAGGCGGGAGGAACAGAUUAAUGUUCUGUUUCUAAUGCAUUGAUGAAUUGGCACUUAGUCAAGGGGUUUAAAAAUAUUAAACCCUCGCAAAAGCCGUCCCAAAAGAGAGUGUUCUCUGCUGAGGGGCACUUCUCAGUCUGGACUAUUGGUUAUCCAUAAUUCAUGUCAAGGGUAUGCAGUGGUGUUUGUAGUGGGAGUGGGAUUUGCUUAGAUUAGUCUGCUGGUGUUCCAUGGGGUGGCCAUGUGCUCCAUGGGGGAUCUUCUCUAGGUGUUUCCCUUCACAUAAAAUCAAAUUCUUUUUCAAUUUGUUCAGUGUAUUGUACAUAUAAUUGGACAUCAGCUGUUCUUAUUCUUGCUUUUCAAUCCCUUUUCUUUCCUUUUGGCAUGUCUUUGUUAGGCAUGGCUUUGUUCCACCGAAUGCAAAAUUGCUUCAGUUUUUUAUUCCUGUCUUCAUACCAGAUCCCAGCUGCAUGAAGGGGGUGAUGAGCCUGGCAGAGGCAUGGGCUGGGCCAUUGCCAGUCCCCAACCCCAGAUCCCAUUUGCCUUUGGGAACUCCCUGGCCCACCACCAGUGCCUCACCGAGGAGCAGCGUGCGCCUUCAGUGCACAGCCUGCACCUCUAAAGCUGCUCCAAGGGGGGGUAUGAAAAUCUAUACCCACAUUCUACACCCAACUCCAGCAUUUUCUAACCCAAUUUCAGAACCUUUUUGUGAUCUUGAGCUGAGACUUGGGGCCCGCCAUGCCCACAUUUGCUACACCGCCAGCAAGUCUCACCCCUCCUAUAAUGAAAAUGUCACUAAUGAUAAAUAUUUAUAGGGAUGCUUAUCUUUAUAUUUACUACCUUGACCUUUAUCUAUUUGGAUUUUAUUUUAAAUUUUAUGCAGCUUGCCUUUGCCUCUUCCCAGCCGUGUGGUGCCGCAGAGCAAGGAGCUCUGCAACGGCUCCGAGAUCGCUGCAUUAUAAAUACGUGCACAGUACAUACAAUUACAGAACUUUAAUGUCUGGUAUAAUUACUGUCUGCAGUUUGCAUUAAUGCUCAGGGUGAUAUAGUGAAGCAAGCGACUCAGACACUGCGAGAUGCACGUCCCGAGGGGCAAAGGAAAAUCAUUGCUUGCGAUCCUGCGAUUAAUUAUUGUGCCUUGUGUGGAGAGGCUGAGAUUUUUCCCAAGCACUUUCUUGCACCCACUGUUGAUUGAAAUGCCUACGCAGGAACGGCACUGCUGCGCAUAGCCUGCAGGCUGGGCUGUGCUUUAUAAGCAAGCAAAGGUCUUCAGUUUUAUUCUUGUAAUGUUGCAAGGGAAAACUGAGGAAAACAGCAGGAAUGAGGAGGAGAACGUGAGUCAGUGCAUCUUAAAAAGUGAUGUGUGCUCACUUGCAGGAGGCUUCCUCCAUGUAUCACCUGGCCCAGGACCCAGGAGGGUGUGCCAGGAGAUGCUGGGAGCUCGCUGUGCUGCAGAGUUUAUUAUUGUUAAACUUAAUUAAUCACUUAAUUGAAUGAAAUUAUUGAUGGAGUUCAGAAGAUCCAUGGGGGCAACUGGAUCAGAACACCAGGGAUGCUCCAGGCUGAGCUGUGCAGGGCACCGACCUGUCACAGCUCCAUGGGGUCUUUGGGUUGGAUGCCAGUGUCACUGCCCACCACAUGAAAUGGGCUGAAAAGUAAAGGGCUUGCUUGUCUGCAGCUUGUCCUUGCUACUGUGUGGGUGUUAGAGCAGUGCAAGAGCAUACGUGUGUUGCUGAUGGCAGGGAAAUCAACCACCUCGAAUCACCCACACCAAAAAAAUGAAUGAAAACUCACUAGGUCAGCCGUUAUUUUUCGGUCACAGUGGUGUCAGAUGUGAACCCUCAUGGCUAAAUGUGCAAUCACAGCAAUUGAGUGGGUUCUGCCCAUCAGGGGCUGUGAGAGCUGAUGGGAAGAAGGAGGGAGAGGAGCCCUGGGAAAUUCUGUGUUGUUGUAGAAGGACAAGGAUGGAUGACAGGCUGCCUCCGGGUAAGGAGAUAUCCCAGUGCCAGUGCUGGGAGGGCUGAGGACCGGAUUUAGCCAAGGAAGCCAACAGCUAUCAAGGAGCAGAGCAGAUCCUAUGGCCACCUGGAGAAGGGAAUUCCCAAGGGACUGGUGUCUGGAAGCUUUGGUUGAGUCCCAUGGAUGCUUUUCAUUUGAGGAAGAGGGGGGAAAAAAAAGGGAAGAAAUGAGAUAAUUGGCUUGAUUGGGCUUUGCUGAAAAUCUAGAAAAGAAAAAAGGGAAGAGAAAGUGCUGAGACAGCUCCUUUCUGUGUCUUUGAACUUCAGGCUUUGAAAAGAGGUGUGGAAAAGCUUAAGGAAUUAACAAGGACUACUGGGAAAUCACUCGGGUGGAACUUUCAGGGCUCUCAGCUCAGAAAGAAAUAGGAAGAAAAUCCUUUGUACAUACAUAUACACGCAUGCAUACACUUAGAUACAUAUGUAGGUGAGAGCGUGACCUCUUCAGCCUGCCAUUAAUCUUCAUCUCCAAUGUUUUCAUGCUGCAUUAAUGACGGGUGUUGUUGGCAGGGUGGCUGGAAGGGCAAAAGCUGCAUUUCCCCACGCUGGGGGCUGCGGAGGAGGCAGAGGCAGAUACCUGGGGCUCCCUGGCAGCGCUUGCUGAAGAUCAGCCUUGAUCAGAACAGGUCUUCUCACAGGAAACAUCAACUUUUUGUCAAAAAAGCCUGAAGAUAAAUAUUCUUGGAUGAAAACCUAUAAAAAGCUCAGACUGACAAACUAUUUUUUUUAGGCACUUCUUUUUCUCCCAACAAGAAUAUAUCUGUCAAGAGAAACAGAUGUUCUCUAUGAAGAAUCUUCUUUAAUUACAAGUCUGUCAAAAAGAGAAAUCUUCAAGUGUCUCAAGCCUCAAAUCUGCGAAUGGCUUCAGCCCUGGGCAAGAAAUCACCCCUUUCCUGAGCAGCCCCAGUGCCCUUUCUCAGCUCUUGUCAUGUCAUCCCUGCAGCUGCACCAAUAAACUGGGCAUUUUUGGAGUUUAGUUUUCAGAUGAGCCCGCUUCAAAUCAAUGGAGCUGCUGCUUUUCGUGACUCCUGGGAAUAAGAUGGCGUGGAAACAACCCACGGCCAUGCCCAAAUAAGAAAACUAAAAGAAUUAUUGGUUUUGGUCAACCUGGAACAUGGCUCUUUUUGCCCUGACAUUUUCCUAGAGGAAAGUGAAACUCUUCAUCUACAGAUUCAAAAAGUCCCAAAGGCACUCUGUCAGACAUCUCCCAACGUGCUCUCUCAGUUAUUGCUGGAUGGAUCAGAAGUUCUCCAGGGAGCAGUGAAGAUGUUUUUGCGGGCUACAAAACCUCAAAGGCUGAAAAUACUCAAUUCCAGUGUCUGCUUCUUGCUUCCAGAGGAGAUAUCUGCUCUUUGUCUUCAUCUUCAUCGUCAUCAUCUUUGUCUUUGUCUUCAUCUUUGUCUUUGCUUUGUCUUUGUCCUCCUUCUCCUUCUUUCUCUCUCUCCUCUUCCUCUUCCUUUUCCUCCUUCCUCCAGCUCCUAAAUCCCCACCUUCCCUUGACCCCCCCUCCUUUCCUUCUCCCCAUCAUGCAUUGCAUGCUGAAUGCAGGAGGCUCUCAAAGGCAAGAGUCGGCCUGGGACACUCUUACCCACAAUAGCAGUGGUGAACAGAACCCAGGUUUUCAGCCAGGAAAUUUCACUGGUAAUCUCCUGCGAGGGAGGCGCUCCCAUUUUUCAUGAUGGUUGGCCCUUGCGGGAUAUGGAUGAAAAGAGAAAGCAUUUCAUUUGCUCUUUGAAAACUGGAGCUAUAGAUCAAGGCCCUGCUCAGUCCCCUGAAGACUAGAAAUGGGAUUUUUGCAAGAAUUGAGGCUAUCCUCUCUGAAAACUAAAACAGUUAUCUACACUUUCAUCGAGAGGUCAGCAGUAGAGAUUUUUCUCCAACAGCUGGAUAAAUCCAGGCUGUUAGUGCCUCUCCUUCCCACUGUUCUCUGUUAUUGCUUUUCAUUACGUGAAGGGUGAGGAACAAGCAAAUACCUCUGCUUUCUAGCUUUGCCCUUGCCCGUUUGUACAAAGCAGCCAAACAUUUCCUUCUGACACUCAGGACCCAAGCACCUUUGGUGUCUGAUGUUUCUCCUUGGAUGCCAUGGUCUGGAUGCAGUUGCUCAGGGCUGCUUAAUCCUACCAGAUGGCAUAGAAAUGUUAUUUUUUGGACACAGGCACUCUUCUUGCCGGAUAUGGGUGCCACGGGACCAGGGCAUCCUUUGUCGCCUGGACCCAGUGUGAUCUCCUGUAACACUGGGCAGGAGGGUUUGCAGAAUCACGCUGCAUCCUGCGUCCCUGAGCCUUGCAGCCAUAAAUCCUUUGCCUCUGCCACAACUGUGAUUGAGCCUGCCUGGCUUAAUUUAUUUCUCCAGAGCCCACACAGUUAUGGUAGAGAUGAUUGCCUGCUCAAGGAGCAGCACUUGGGAUGAAAUCUUUUCCUCUUGAGAGUGCUGCUGGAAAAACAAGGCAGUGUCCGUGAGCUGCCAGCAAUCCCCAUGUAGGCAUUGUCUUUGCUUGGCCACUUCUUUGCGGUGCUCUCAUCCUUCCUGACCUCUCCCCUUCUCUCCCUUCCUUUAAGUCCUUUUCUCUCUGUUUCAUUUCUACCUAUGUCUCUUCCUCUUCAGGUUCCUCGCUAGGCACUGGAGCUGAUUGCAGUGGUGAUCCAGCAAAUCACAGUAGUGAUGCUGCUGAUGGAAUAACUCCUUGGGGUUCCACACGGUUGCUGUGCGGGCACUGAGUUUCAAACUGCAGAAAAGGAGCAGGAAAGCCUGAUAUUUGGGUGCAUCAACUGGAGCUUUCAUCCCCACCCCAGGGAGAUGGGUUUUGGAGCCCUAGCAGCCUGCCCACCCUAUGGACAUGGCCAGAUACCCCCAGUUCCUUCCCAAGCACUGCUACCCAGAGAGGUGCUCUGUCCUGGCUAUGGGAGUUGAGCACGAAUAACUCACAAAUAAUGGAAAUCCCCACCAUGUGCCCCCAGCAUUGGCACGGCUCAGGGCCCUGCAAGAAGCGCGCUGCCUUGUUUGUCACCUGAAGCACUUGGAAAAAUUACACAAAUCCAUCAAUGUAAUGAAUCUUCUCAGCAGUGGCAAAUAGACAGAGACAGACAGGCACUCAGCUGAAACAAGUCAUCUUUAAAAAUUAAUACAAAAUAAACAGCUGGCCUUUCGCUCCGCUUCCAGGUGGUGGCUGCGUGGUUUGGGCGAGGGCUGGGCAGGGACCAAUGAUGGUUCCCAAUGGGAUCACGUCCCUGGGGCAGGGAAGUGUCCUCUGCCGUGUCCCUGUCACUGUCACAGUGUCACCUCCAUCUGCUGCUGCUCCAGGAAUGGUGGUGCAGCGCGGCAGUCAGUGUUGCACUGCAUGAGUGACUGCUUAAGAAACAGCCAAAUCUUUGGGAAUGCCAAAGCCUCAUCACCUCCCUACAGCCUUGCCAGGCUUCUGCCAGCCCUCUGGGCUCUCACAUCAGUUUGUCAGUGUCUGAUGGAGCUUGUACACUCCUCAGAGGACAGGCUGAGCUUGCUCUCCUGCUUGUCACGAUGUGGGCUCCAUAAAUAAUUAACAGCGGUGCUGCUUCUGCCCUCGAGCUUUCAUUUCAUUACCCAGGAAUAACAUACCCACCUAUAUACGUGUGUAUGUACAUGUCUGCGUGUAAUACGCAUCCAUAUGUACUUACAUUGCUUAAACAUCUGUUUCACCGGCCAGCCUCUCUGCUUUUCCUUCGGCCAUUGCUCUGUCUCCCUGCUGGUCCCAAGGGCAGGCAAGCAGCAGAAGGCGCUGCUCUCGACCGUGAGCAUCCCACCAGUGCUCCAGCUGCUCCUGCUCUGAGGCCAGGCUAUUUAUGAGGUACCAUGGGGCUGCCCUUGCCCUGCAGAGUGUGGGGAUGGAGAGCGGGGAGGAAGACGGAUGGAUCCUGAAUUGAGGUGAAUUUAUGGGGCUUUGCGAUUCCUGCUGCUGUAUGUCUCCGAGAAAUGACACCGCCACUUCAGGAGCAGAGAUUAAUCUGAGCCGGCAGGAGAAGGACAAAACAAAUCAUCUACUGCAGGAAUCUCAUUUGAUGCCUGUUAGUAAAAGCACUGCGAUGAAUGGCUUUUGUAAAGACCACGUAGUACAGGCUUUUUUUUUUUCCUCCCUUUUCUCCAUUCGUCUGCAAAUUGAGGUCUGUGAGGUGUGUGGUGGAGGCACCCCAGGGUCACUCAUGGCCAGGCACAGGACAAGGACUCCCAGCAGCUUUGUGCACUGUGAGACAGGAGAGCAAAAAAGGGAAGGCAGAGCUCCCAGCGCAUCGUACCCAAGGAAGGAAUCCUUCGCUUUUGUUUUUAAAAGGGCAUUGAUUCUCACGUCCUGCAGAACACGGGGUCGGGGCAGCCUGCAGCCCCAGACAGAACAUCCCAGUGCUGCUCUGCAUCCCAGCCAGCAGCAGCUGGAUGCGGCCCAGUGGGAGCAGUACCAGCACCGAGCACUCCUCCCGCACGCCGCUGUGCAUCCCAGCUCAAUACAGAAUCAAUUGGAUUGAUCUUUUUUUAAGGUGCAGCCUCCGAACGGCUGAGACUGUGAGAGACGUGGCUAAGCACGCACUUCCACAAAAUAAUUUGUCAGGCCCCGCUGUAGAAACCUAAUGAUGGCUGUAAUUUAUUGCUGACAGACGAUAUUUAUCACCGCAGCAUCCCCUCUUUCUCUUCCUCUGUCUCGUUAGGAAUGGCAUCAAUAAUGUUUAUUGUAGCUUUUAAUUUUUUAUCGCUGGUAUUCUUACCUGUGCUGCUGAGGGCUGCAGGAGAUGGGAAAGGCGUCAGAGCAGAUGGAGGCUCAGCUCUGUGCUGAAGGGUGAGCGAUGAAGGCUGGAAGUUCCUCCUGCGUGCCCAUGCAGGGAGCGUGCAGUGCCAGAGAGCACCCCGGUAGCAGGGAAAAGUGAGCUGUUCCCAUAAAGCUUACUCCCUCUCUUCUGAGCCUUUGGACCUGUGCAAGGGAUGCUCAGACCCAGCAAAGCGGUGGCAUUGCUUUGGUUUUCCCCAGAUGCUGCUCCCACGUGGGGCUGGAGAAGGAACAUCACCCCUCCGCUGCUGCACCUGCAUUGCUGCGAUCAUCUCACACCUGAUGAUGCCCACAAGCCCUGUGGUCACAGUUCUUGUCCCUGAAAGCAACCAAAACCCCAACUCCAAUCCUGAAAUCUCCUUUUUUUCCCCUCGUUUUCCUACAGUUUUUCCUACCCUUGAGGAAAUGUGCUGCACCAGGUUUUGAUGCCCUAUAAACCAGCACUUCCCAGAGGGGAUUUCUUCCCCCUUUCCAGACGUGAAUAAUUACCCAGGCAGAGGCUGUUCCAGCCUCGUUACAGGAGCCUCUCAGACUAGCCGGUCAUUUACAGAUUAGAUAGAUGUUGCCCACGUUGUUCAUAACUGAUUAUGGGAUUGGCAGUUUGGCUCUCACCCAAAAUUCAGAGUCCUGAUUUAGCAUAAUUGGAAGUGAAUGGCGGAGCAGGCUGGGGGAUGGGGAUGGUGCCUGCUGCUGAUUUCCUAAUGCCGGCUUUGGGGAUCCCUGACAAGCUGCGGAGUGCUCUUUAUAGGGCAAUAACGUUUACGGUGUGGGUUGUCUGGGGGAGGAACUCCUGUGAUGGCAGCAGCCACCUCCUGCACGUCCCAGAUCGAAGCUGGAGAAAUCAAGAAUACCAGAAGAGCAACGAGGAUGAUAUUAAAAAGUAAUCCCUUCUGUGUCAAGGUGUGGGCUUUUUUGCUUAUAGAAAUUGUUCUUCUGCAUUAAUCUAUUCUACUUUGUGCUAUCCUGUCCUUUUACUGACUUCUGUUCCUCCCUUAGUUUAUCCCACUAAAUGUUGGCGUUCCCACUGUUGACCCUUCAUGCACCCAUAGCCUUCCUUGCACUUAUUCUCACAGCCCCUCUCUGCUGGAGGCUCCAAGAGCACAGUGCAAUCCAUUGUGCAAUCCACAAUGCAAUCCAGUUUGUCC
ensembl:lncRNA